rnacentral:rRNA from 2 species
UACGUAGGGUGCAAGCGUUAAUCGGAAUUACUGGGCGUAAAGCGUGCGCAGGCGGUGAUGUAAGACAGAUGUGAAAUCCCCGGGCUCAACCUGGGAACUGCAUUUGUGACUGCAUCGCUGGAGUGCGGCAGAGGGGGAUGGAAUUCCGCGUGUAGCAGUGAAAUGCGUAGAUAUGCGGAGGAACACCGAUGGCGAAGGCAAUCCCCUGGGCCUGCACUGACGCUCAUGCACGAAAGCGUGGGGAGCAAACAGG